rnacentral:rRNA from 1 species
CGACCGGGUGAGUAACACGUGACUAACCUACCUUCAAGUGGGGGGAUAACCUCGGGAAACCGGGGCUAAUACCGCAUAAUAUCUUCGGGAUGAGAAGCCGAAGAUCAAAGGAGCAAUUCGCUGGAAGAGGGAGUCGCGGCUGAUUAGCUAGUUGGCGGGGUAAUGGCCCACCAAGGCUUUGAUCGGUAGCCGGCCUGAGAGGGCGCACGGCCACACUGGAACUGAAACACGGUCCAG